GCUCAAUCUCUCUGUCAAUGCCGUCUGUCUGUGGUUCACUCUCUCCUACUAUGUCUCUCAAUCUCCCUCUCCUUAUGUAUGAGCACCUCCAUAUCACUUUGUCUCCAUCUAUGAACGUGGUACCUUCAGACUUGUGGAGGUCUACAAUGUUUUUUCUGAGGUCUUGGCUGAUUCCUUUUGAUUUUCCCAUGAUGUCAAGCAAAAAGGCACUGAGUGUGAAGGAUGCAUGAAUCAUGAUGUGAGUCAUGAGUCCAAAGCGGGAAUUACCAGUCCCCUGUGGCCCUUUGGUUAUGGCGAAGGUGACCAGAGAUGGUCUCUAGAUGCAUGAAAGAUAAUUCGGUCGAGAACAGAGUUUGAAACUCAACACCCCCUCUAACUGGCUGAAAAUGGCGCUCAGUAUGGUCCUUCACCACUUCUACCCUGAGACCUGAGUCCGAGCCAGCAACCUGUACACAGCAGUCGAAGCUAUUAACCGCCUUUUCUCUCAGGAGUGCGACAUGAGUCCACUUGGAGUGAGCAUGGAGAGAUUCUGUCCCAUCUUCUCUCAUGCUGCUGGUGUAUUGGUGGUAAAAUGGACAAGACAUAAUGGACUGUAUAGGACAGUGGCGGCUCAGCUGAGAGACAUUAUCUAGAGUCAUCCACUUUGAACAUUAAAAACACGAACUGAAACACUAUCUGAAGAAGAAAAUGUGCUUUUCUUAUAAAUAAUUUCUGUGUUCAUGCAAGUGGAUGACUGUACAAAUCCUCACUAUCAGUAGCUGCAAUUUGGCAGAACGCUCUGACCUUGUUUUGAGAACAAACUAAAUAUAUCUCAGUUUCAAGGUCUCACCUUAGAGAGAAGAAGCCUCAUGAAAUAUUGGUCUGUCACAUGUUAUGAACCAGUAUUUGUCUGUCACAUGAACGAAACAAAACGGUAAUGAUGAAUUAAUUAUGCUACAUCAUGAAAAUUAUAGCCGUGUAUAAGACAACUGCUGCGACUGUCCAGGCAGAGCUCCUGAUUGACACGUCUACUAUGGUGCAUUGAGUUGGUUGGAACCU